rnacentral:rRNA from 1 species
ACUCCUGACUCCUGCGAAUCCUUUAUAGAUAGAGGAGUGCCUUCGGGAACGCUGAGACAGGUGCUGCAUGGCUGUCGUCAGCUCGUGUUGUGAAAUGUUGGGUUAAGUCCCGCAACGAGCGCAACCCUUAUCCUUUGUUGCCAGCACGUAAUGGUGGGAACUCAAAGGAGACUGCCGGUGAUAAACCGGAGGAAGGUGGGGAUGACNUCAAGUCAUCAUGGCCCUUACGAGUAGGGCUACACACGUGCUACAAUGGCAGAUACAAAGAGAAGCGACCUCCCGAGAGCAAGCGGAACUCAUAAAGUCUGUCGUAGUCCGGAUUGGAGUCUGCAACUCGACUCCAUGAAGUCGGAAUCGCUAGUAAUCGUAAAUCAAAAUGCUACGCCCAACACGUU